GACGAACGCUGGCGGCGUGCUUAACACAUGCAAGUCGAACGGAAAGGCCCUGCUUUUGUGGGGUGCUCGAGUGGCGAACGGGUGAGUAACACGUGUGUAACCUGCCCUUGACUUUGGGAUAACUUCAGGAAACUGGGGCUCAUACCGGAUAGGAGCUCCUGCUGCAUGGUGGGGGUUGGAAAGUUUCGGCGGCUGGGGAUGGACUCGCGGCUUAUCAGCUUGUUGGUGGGGUAGUGGCGUACCAAGGCUUUGACGGGUAGCCGGCCUGAGAGGGUGACCGGCCACCUUGGGACUGCGAUACGGCGCAGAGUCCUACAGGAGGCAGUAGUGGGGAAUAUUGCACAGUGGGCGGAAGCCUGAUGAGGCAACGCCGCGUGUGGGAUGCCGGCCUUCGGGUUGUAAACCGCUGUCGCCUGUGACGACGCGUGAGUGACGGUACUGAGUAAAGAAGCACCGGCUAACUACGUG
rnacentral:rRNA from 1 species